AAUAACUACUAAACCUUUGCUUUACACACACACACACACACGUAAGCUAAUGCAGGCACAACAUGGUUUAUUUCUUACUGUCUAAAGCGCUUCACUUAAUGAAAUGAUGAUUGUUUGAAGAUGGCUGACUGGAGUAGAUCAACCAGACAACAUGACGAAGAUCAAGGAAGUUCAGGAUUAUUUGACAGAAGAGGCAGCAAAAGUCUCCCUACAAACAUGUCUGUGAUAAAAGAAGAUUUGAGAAUAGUUCUUCUGGGGUCACAUGGAGAUGUUAAAGCCUCCUGUGGAAACGCAAUUUUUGGACGAAAGGUCUUCUCAGAGUCAGCGUCUUCUCUGCAUUUGUUUGAGAAGCAUGAUGAGAUAGUGCUGGAGAGACAUUUGGUGGUCACC